GACGAACGCUGGCGGCGUGCUUAACACAUGCAAGUCGAACGGAAAGGCCCUGCUUUUGUGGGGUGCUCGGGUGGCGAACGGGUGAGUAACACGUGAGUAACCUGCCUUUGACUUUGGGAUAACUUCAGGAAACUGGGGCUAAUACCGGAUAGGAGCUCCUGCUGCAUGGUGGGGGUUGGAAAGUUUCGGCGGUUGGGGAUGGACUCGCGGCUUAUCAGCUUGUUGGUGGGGUAGUGGCUUACCAAGGCUUUGACGGGUAGCCGGCCUGAGAGGGUGACCGGCCACAUUGGGACUGAGAUACGGCCCAGACUCCUACGGGAGGCAGCAGUGGGGAAUAUUGCACAAUGGGCGGAAGCCUGAUGCAGCAACGCCGCGUGCGGGAUGACGGCCUUCGGGUUGUAAACCGCUUUCGCCUGUGACGAAGCGUGAGUGACGGUAAUGGGUAAAGAAGCACCGGCUAACUACGUG
rnacentral:rRNA from 1 species